rnacentral:misc_RNA from 1 species
AACCUAGCACACCUGCGGUGUGUACCUGCGGAAGGAUCAUUAUCGUAGGGCUUCGGCCCUUUCGAGAUAGCACCCUUUGUCCCUUUUGGAGCACCAUUUCUGUUUCCUCGGCAGGUCCGCCCGCCACAUGAGGACCUCUUACAACCUUUUGCAUCGCCUGCAUCGUCUGAUCUCGAUUGAAUCAAUCACAACUUUCAACAAUGGAUCU